UACGUAGGGGGCGAGCGUUGUCCGGAUUUAUUGGGCGUAAAGAGCGUGUAGGCGGCCAGGUAGGUCUGCUGUGAAAACUCUAGGCUCAACCUAGAGACGCCACCCGAUACUGCUAUAGCUAGAAUCCAGUAGGGGAGUGUGGAAUUCCCAGUGUAGCGGUGAAAUGCGCAGAUAUUGGGAGGAACACCAGCGGCGAAGGCGGCACUCUGGGCUGGUAUUGACGCUGAGGAGCGAAAGCGUGGGUAGCGAACAGG
rnacentral:rRNA from 1 species